rnacentral:rRNA from 1 species
UUAAAUUGAAGAGUUUGAUCAUGGCUCAGAUUGAACGCUGGCGGCAGGCCUAACACAUGCAAGUCGAACGGUAACAGGAAGCAGCUUGCUGCUUUGCUGACGAGUGGCGGACGGGUGAGUAAUGUCUGGGAAACUGCCUGAUGGAGGGGGAUAACUACUGGAAACGGUAGCUAAUACCGCAUAACGUCGCAAGACCAAAGAGGGGGACCUUCGGGCCUCUUGCCAUCGGAUGUGCCCAGAUGGGAU